ensembl:lncRNA
GAAAGUAAUAUCACAAUGCAAUAUAUAUAUAUCUAAAAGGCUUUUUAUGCAAAAUUAAUUUUCUUUUAAUUUGUGAAAUGUGACCUACACAUGUUUUUGCGAGACUAAUCAAUUACUCCUGCACUUAGCCAAUUAACAAAGCAGAUGUAACUUUGCAUUUCAUGAAAACCUUUGAAAACUGUUAAAAACGGCAAUUGUCACCUUCUUUACAGUAAAUGAAGCAUGCACGCACACACUCACAGAUGUGUGUGAAAAGAGUCGGCGAGUACGUUCUGCCAUAAUAAGCGAGGGCCAAUAAAUAAGGGAGGUUACACAAGUGUUAUUAAAUGUCAAAAUGAUUACUGUGUCAGUGAACGGCUGGCUUAUUCGAGCUGAACACGUCGCGUUGAGCUCUCGUCAGAAACCACCUCAGUGAACAAAAGAAUACACUCUUAUUAUAAACUUACGUCCCAACACGUUAAACCUUUUGCUCACAUUCAGUGUUUCUGAGCGUUUGCACACAGAAUUCACUCUCCUGACUGCAACUUUACAUGCAUGUCUAUGAGUGUCUACUGAUUGUGUUUUUCUUUAGAAAUACAGCUGGUGUUUUCACAUUUAAGAAGAUAAUGUCGGAAAAUUCUGUUAUUACUCACCCACAUUGUUCCAUACCUGUAUGGCUUUCUUUCUGUAUUUCUUUCUUUCUUCUGUGAAACACAAAAGAAGAUAUUUAGUAGAAUGUUCAUGCUGCUCUUUUGCAGUCAACGCAAACAGAAAUUGUAAAUAAAAUGAAUAAAAAGCGUUAUGAAAGAAGUUUCCACCACUCAAUUGCUCAUAAUUGAUUGUUUGCUGAAAGCUCAUUUGCAUAUGUACAUGCAUUCUCUUAAACUGAAUGGUUUAUAUGUAGGCGUGGGCAUGAGAUUUCACAGCAGCGGUGGAGGAAAGAAAGCCAUAAUGUUUUGGAAACACGUGAGGUGUGGAUGAGAGAUGCUGCUGCUGUAAUGUGAAGGUGACUGACUGUACGCUUGAUUCAUCGCUGAUGGAGAGAUACUGUUAUUCCCAGGCUGGAUAAUAAAACACUGAAUGCACAACCUGGAGAUCUCUCA